rnacentral:rRNA from 1 species
ACUCAAAUGAAUUGACGGGGGUCCGCACAAGCGGUGGAACAUGUGGUUUAAUUCGACACUACGCGAGGAACCUUACCUAGGCUUGACAUAUUUUUGACAGCUGUAGAAAUACAGUCUUCUAUGCGAAAGCAUAGACAAUUUUACAGGUGCUGCAUGGCUGUCGUCAGCUCGUGUCGUGAGAUGUUGGGUUAAGUCCUUUAACGAGCGCAACUCCUGUCGUUAGUUGCAACUCCGUAAGGAGGCACUCUAUCGAGACUGCCUGGGAAACCAGGAGGAAGGUGGGAAUGACGUCAAGUCCGCAUGGCCCUUAUGCCUAGGGCAACACACGUGUUACAAUGGUUGGUACAAAGGGUUGCGAGCUUGUAAAAGUAAGCCAAUCCCAGAAAGCCAAUCUAAGUUCGGAUUGAGGUCUGCAACUCGACCUCAUGAAGUUGAAAUCGCUAGUAAUCGCAUAUCAGAACGAUGCGGUGAAUACGUUCUCGGACCUUGUACACACCGCCCGU